AAUGCGACUAUUUUAAAAAAUGAUCUUUUGUAUUUGAGUGAGUGACUACACAAACCAAGUUAAAUAUGAGAAUAUAUGUGGUGAUCUGGUGAAUUGUGUGGCAAGGGAGAAUAUAAUUCAUAGCAUCUCUUUCUCUUUAUAAAUAAGAACUUCAUGAGCAAAUGUGGGGAAACAUUGACUAGUCGAAUUUAGAUUCUGAAUUGUUCUAAUCUGUUCCUUGUCUUCAAACAAAAAAUGAAGAAAGAGAACGAUGCUGCUUCAUUGAAGAACAGUAAAGUCUCCUUCACUCGAAAGUGCCUUAAAAUGGUUCCAUUUCUUGGAAACUACACAAGCUGAAGUGCUGUCUCCCUGAGACGAUUGAGCAAUUUACUUUUCAUGCUAAGUGAUAAUGUAGACUUAUGGUGCUAACGUCUCCUAUCUUGUUCUUUGUGUACCGCCUUGAGACUUAUGGUUAUGUACCUCCUGUGCUCUGAAUAUUUCUGUCGUGGUGCCCUUAUUGAGCACUCUUAUCAGUGUGGUGUUUGCAUUUUAACAGUGUGUCAACCUCUUCCUUGGUGGUAUAAAGAAAUAAAAGAUGACGAGCUAUGAACUCUUCCAGAUUUUUUGUUCCAUGUGGUGGUACUCCUGUGGUAUUGUGUUGCGAAUUCUUAUGAGACUGAGUGACUGACAGAUCUUCUUUCUUGCAGCAUCCCUGUUAAGAAUGACAGAAUGUAUUCCUGGUUGUUGGAUAUUACUUCGCAGGUUUUCAAAUGCGUGUUUCCAUUUUAAUUGACUUAGUUUAUAAUUUACUUUUUCUAUUUUUCAUGGGACUAUAGAGUAAUGCAUAUUGUUAGGUGUGGUUGCACAUGGGUGAUUGUUAGGUGUUCCUGAAGGUAGUUGACAGAUUAAAUGAAGCCUUGACCAGAUGCUUUUUUGUUGGGUUAUCAUCUUUUCUGGCUUUUGUUUUGAGUUUAUACAUGCAUAAUUGUUGAACUUAUCACAUGUAAUGGAGGCUGCGAUGCUUAAGUAAACCAUUUAUUCUUGUCAUUUAGACGGUGUGAAGGGAUAUCUUAUCUUAAUUUAGAUCACAUCAACUGAAUCUUUUUAUUGAAGCGUGGUGAAGACUCUUCUUAUGCUGCAAUAUGUUUAGGUAGUGUUUGGAUACAAGCAUUUGAUUUCAAAUCUAGAAAUUCAAAUUCCUACUUUCAAAUCGAAAUUAUCUGUUUGGGAAAUACACAGAAUUGUAAACCCUUCAUUUCAAUUAUUAGUAUAUUGUUUGGAAAGAAAAUACUCCGUAAAAUUUUAAUUUUGAAAUUGAAAACUUUCAACUGUUUUCAAAAAAUAAAAAUAAAUCAAUUUUAACAAGUAAAUCACCUACCAGACAACCGGUAUUGUAAACAAAAAAUAAUAAUCAAGCUUAGCUUCAUUCUUUUCGUUCUCCGUCAGUCCAUCACUCCAUCCACAAUAAUCCAUACAAAAAUCAUUAGCCUUUGACCAAAAUUUGGGGAAAUCAUAUCAUAACUCUUUAAUUUAGCUGUCCAGCAUCAAAGUGUCAAAAAUAAAGGUUUCCUUCCGCGCAGGCGAAUGAUGGCGGAGACUUUUCUGGUGGUGUUGAAAGAAAGAGAUCAGAAUUUGUGAUAGGAGAGAAAAGGAGGGAUUAAAUUUGAGACAGGAGAAAGAACGAGAGGGUUGUGAGAAUGGAGAUAUGUACCAUGUACCAAGUAUUUGGGUUUGGAGAAGAAAGGCAAAAAACAUGGAGGACAGAGAAAGCUGGAAUUUCAAAUAGUCAUUUCAAAUUAUUAUUUUUUGGUUUGUUUUUAAUUACUCUGGAAUUUGGGCCAAUUCCAUGAUUUCAAAUUCUUCGUUAUCCAAACAAUGGAUUUCAGCCAAUUCUAGAAUUUGAAAUGAAAUGACGCUAUCCAAACAGGCCAUUAGGGAAUUUAUGAUAUUGUUAAAAUUCAUUAUUGUUUUUGCUGGUACUUUUGUAGUUGUUCAGUGUGUGAUGUGUUUGCCUAAGUUGUAAUAUUGUUAGAAACUUAGAAUUUUAUCAUUAGUGGUGGCAUAGUCUCUCUUGCGCGUGUAAUGUUUAUGUCAGUCGCUUGAGAGUCGUUCCUGGUGUUGGUUGUAUCUGUUUUUCUGGUUCUGGGUAGCGGAAUUCUGCCAGAGAUUGUUUUCUUUCUGAACUUGUUAGAGUCACUACUCUAUGAAGUAGGUUCUGGAAAAUUCUAUUGCUCAUUUUCUGCAGAUGCCCUGUUCAGCCGGUUAUUACCUUUUGCUGCUGUCAUUCAUCAAAACUUCUAUUCAUAAGUUGAUGCUAUACGAUAUAACCAUGGGACAUCGGGUUGUCAUUGAUGUAUGGAACUGGGGUCUGAGGUAUAUUCUCAUUUUCUUCUAUAAGAUACCUUGUUGCUUUUUGCUGCUGUUAUGGACUAGAAUCUUCCAUGAAGCAAUUGGUGCUAUAAGUGAUCUCAGCUGGCCAAAACCUGAAGUUCCUCUGAUCAGCAGGAUAGACUUUGAGAUGCAGUCUAUUGUUUCAGUUACGACCCGUAUCCUCAGAAACUGUAUCAUUUCCGUACCCCUCAAUCCUAUCUACUGUUCUGGAGUGCUUCCAUUUCACUUCUGGAGACAGAAAGUACCACUCUUAAUAAUGUCAGAGCAAACCUGGAAACAACCCCAGGAAAGUAAGAGUUGAUCGAAGUUUUGCAGUUCUUCAUGUUGGUUUGAUGAUGUUGCUGAAAGAAGGCUGAAGUCGAUUAUGGGGAUGUCCACAUAUACAUCCGCAGACUGAUUAUCAGCUGCUUUGGUUGGAAGCUGGAGGGACAGAUGCAGCCAUUUUACUUGGUGAUGACUCUAAAUGAAAAUAUGGAGAGGAUUAGGCCAAGGAGAUUAUAUGCUAAUUAAUUUGUUGUACUUUGCAACACACCUGCUGCCCACAACAGAUAAACAAGAGGAACACAGCAAAAAUAGUGAAGAACAGGAAGAAUUUGAUUGAUGAUUAGUUGAUUACUCAGGAACCGAUUACAAAAGUAGUAGCUUGAGGCUACAAAUCUCCAAGUUGGUAGUUUGAGGCUAGUAAUCUCUAUUCUCAAUACAAAACACAAUAAUGUUCUCUUUCCUUUCUUCCUCUAUUUAAUUGCUAGCUUAAGCUACUAGUACGAUUCCUCAUAAAUGCAGCUGCUGCUCUGCUUUGUCUUUUAGUGGCUAAUAAUCCUGCUUUCCGACUCUGCUCCUGCUGCAGGUGCUUGUUGUGCCCUAUGAGCUUUAUGCUAGCCCUUUCUUGUGGCGCCUGCUGUACACAAACACAGUUCCAGCUUCAAUAGAGGGGAAAAUGAUGCAGCCAUUUUACUUGGUUAUGAGAGGUGAUUAGAUAUACCAUGCUCAACUGGUUAUUGUACCUUUUGCUGCUGUUAUUGAUUAAAACUUCCAUGCAGCUAUUGCUGCUAUACGUUAUAAACACUGUGUACAAAAAGGUUCGAUACAGUUGGAAGUAACAGAGGAACGGCCAUGGUUGAGAUCAGUAGAGUCAAUUCUCCAAUCAUAAAUCUGGCCAAAACUUGAAGUUUCGCUGAUCAACAGGGUAAACUUUGAGAACCAGUCUGUCAUUCCAGCAAUACUUCUGAUCCUCAGAAACUGUAUCAUUUCCAUAUCCUUCAACCCAAUGUAAAGUUCUGGAAUGCUUCUGUUUCACUUCUAGGGGCAGACCAAAGAAUUCCUUCUCGACUUGUCGGAUUUGGUGAAGUAGUGAACUUGUCAAACCAUGAUUUCUAAGCUGGAAAGCAAUUGAGAAAUAAGUUUUCAACUGAUACAGGAGUUCUUCAGGUUGAUGUGUUGAUACAGCUGAAAGAAGGUUGAGAUCAAUGAUGGGAUUGUCCAUAUACUUAAUCGCCGAAUGAUCAGCAGCUGUCUCUGGAAACUGGUGAAUAUAUCUGUCUGGGAGUUGAUCACCUGUUAUUUUACUCAACUCUUGUGUUGGUUUUGGUGGUAAUUCUGGCUUCAUAGGAGAGACAGAUGAUGCAGCCAUUUUACUAUGUGAUGAACCGGACACGGAAAUAACAGGAGAUGAAUUAGAUCUGCUGAUUAUAUAGCAUUCACUUGAAAAUUUUCUGAUGAAUUACCAACUACUUGGUAUUUAUCAAUGAGCAGUGUGAUAUAUUCUUUUAUUUUAUUUUUGAUGAUUUUUGAAAGUUGUGAUUGGAUUGGAUUCUUUUUCGUUGGUGGAGCAUUGCUUUGUAUUAAUAUGUAGGGUACUCUCUGCAAUUCCUCCUAUUACCAAACCACUUAAUUCGUAAUAGUUGUACAGAAAUUCCGGGAUCAGUUGGUACUUUAGAUGCUUGUAAACAUUGUGUGGUGCUAUCUCUUACUACGUAUGAUGGUAUUUUGGAUCAUCUUGAA